rnacentral:tRNA from 1 species
UAUAUUUUAGUAUACGAUGUACAAAAGUUUUUGAUGCUUUAGGAAAUGGUUUAAAUCUGUUAAAUAUAA